UACGGAGGGUGCAAGCGUUAUCCGGAUUCACUGGGUUUAAAGGGUGCGUAGGCGGGCAGGUAAGUCCGUGGUGAAAUCUCUGAGCUUAACUCAGAAACUGCCAUGGAUACUAUUUGUCUUGAAUAUUGUGGAGGUAAGCGGAAUAUGUCAUGUAGCGGUGAAAUGCUUAGAUAUGAACAUAGAACACCAAUUGCGAAGGCAGCUUACUACACAGUUAUUGACGCUGAGGCACGAAAGCGUGGGGAUCAAACAGGA
rnacentral:rRNA from 1 species